GGAUAUUUCCUUGGUCACCGCUGCCUACAGACUUCGGCUUCUUCCCUCACGUCCCUCUCUUCCCAACCGCUCCUUCCAGCCCUCACCUCGCCGGUCUGGCGGUCUCUAGCACCUCGGCGUUGUCUCUGUCUCAGCCGGCCGCUCGACCCUAGCAUCUGCUCGCUUGCCUUCACUCUGUCCCCAGCUUGCCCCGAGGUCUGUCCUCUAUGUGUUUCUUCAAGCUCGCCAUGGCUGGCUUCGGAUCCUGCUCGCGAGUUUCCUCAGCGCCGUCAGCUUGCCGGCCUCCAGCUCGCCUGUAUCAUGGUCGUCGCGCCGUCUUUGCUCGUUGGGUCUUGCGUUGCCGCGCACACGUGCCGGACACCCCUGCUUCUCUGUUGGCUGCGCGCGCCGGACUACGUCCUUCGCAGCUCGCUGGCUUUAGCUGCAGGACACCACCAGCCGUGCCUUCCUCGACUCGUCCACAGCGUCGCUCGUGAGGUGCUCGACGUAAUGGCGGAAUUACGUAAUGGCGGAAAUGAAAAUCGUAGCUGUGCUCGUGACCUUUGAGAUAAAUUAAAUUAUUGGUGAGCUAUCAUCGCUCUCGCUCUUCGUU